rnacentral:rRNA from 1 species
CCCCUAGAUGUUCUGGGCCGCACGCGCGCUACACUGAAGGAGGCAGCGUGUACUCCUGGAUCGAAAGAUUUGGGUAACCCGCGAAUCUCCUUCGUGCUAGGGAUUGAGGUUUGCAAUUAUCCUUCAUGAACGAGGAAUUCCCAGUAAGUGCAAGUCAUAAGCUUGCGCUGACUACGUCCCUGCCCUUUGUACACACCGCCCGUCGCUACUACCGAUUGAAUGAUUUAGUGAGGACUUCGGACUGGGACCGAUGCGGCUUUCGGGCUGCGUCGGUAUUCUGGAAAGAUGUCCAAACUGUAUCAUUUAGAGGAAGUAAAAGUCGUAACA